rnacentral:rRNA from 1 species
GACAGAGGUGCCAAGCGUUAGGCGGAAUCACUGGGCUUAAAGCGUGUGUAGGUGGAUUUGUAAGUACCUUGUGAAAUCCCAUGGCUCAACCAUGGAACUGCUCGGUAUACUGCGAAUCUUGAGCCACUUAGGGGCUACCGGAACAAAUGGUGGAGCGGUGAAAUGCGUAGAUAUUCGCAAGAACACCAGUGGCGAAGGCGGCUCACUGGCCCGGUACUGACGCUGAGGUGCGAAAGCGUGGGGAGCAAACAGG